GACAUGUGGACGCUUUGGCCGAGUGGUAAUGCUUGCGGCUUUGAUUCGUCAGGUCGCGGGCUCGAAACCCGCCACGGUCU